rnacentral:rRNA from 1 species
GGCGGGGGAUAACCAGGGGAAACCCUGGCUAAUACCGCGUAUGGCCUACGGGUCAAAGUCUUCGGACGCCAGUUGAUGGGGCCGCGGCCCAUUAUUUAAUCCUAGUUGGUGGGGUAAUGGCCUACCAAGGGUACGAUGGGUAGCUGGUCUGAGAGGACGAUCAGCCACACUGGGACUGAGACACGGCCCAGACUCCUACGGGAGGCAGCAGUGGGGAAUUUUCCGCAAUGGGCGAAAGCCUGACGGA